UACGUAGGGUGCAAGCGUUGUCCGGAAUUAUUGGGCGUAAAGAGCUCGUAGGCGGUUUGUCGCGUCGGCUGUGAAAAUCCGGGGCUCAACCCCCGGACUUGCAGUGGGUACGGGCAGACUAGAGUGUGGUAGGGGAGACUGGAAUCCUGGUGUAGCGGUGAAAUGCGCAGAUAUCGGGAAGAACACCCCGUGGCGAAGGCGGCUCUCUGGGACGGUACUGACGCUGAGACGCGAAAGCGUGGGGAGCGAACAGG
rnacentral:rRNA from 1 species